rnacentral:rRNA from 1 species
AGUGAACGCUGGCGGUAGGCCUAACACAUGCAAGUCGAACGGCAGCACAGGAGAGCUUGCUCUCUGGGUGGCGAGUGGCGGACGGGUGAGGAAUACAUCGGAAUCUACUCUGUCGUGGGGGAUCACGUAGGGAAACUUACGCUAAUACCGCAUACGACCUACGGGUGAAAGCAGGGGAUCUUCGGACCUUGCGCGAUUGAAUGAGCCGGUGUCGGAUUAGCUAGUUGGCGGGGUAAAGGCCCACCAAGGCGACGAUCCGUAGCUGGUCUGAGAGGAUGAUCAGCCACACUGGAACUGAGACACGGUCCAGACUCCUACGGGAGGCAGCAGUGGGGAAUAUUGGACAAUGGGCGCAAGCCUGAUCCAGCCAUACCGCGUGGGUGAAGAAGGCCUUCGGGUUGUAAAGCCCUUUUGUUGGGAAAGAAAUCCAGCUGGCUAAUACCCGGUUGGGAUGACGGUACCCAAAGAAUAAGCACCGGCUAACUUCGUGCCAGCCGCCGCGGUAA